UACAGAGGGGGCAAGCGUUGUUCGGAAUUACUGGGCGUAAAGGGCGCGUAGGUGGCCUUCUAAGUUGAACGUGAAAUCCCUGGGCUCAACCCAGGAACUGCGUCCAAGACUGGGAGGCUUGAAUCCGGGAGAGGGAUGCGGAAUUCCAGGUGUAGCGGUGAAAUGCGUAGAUAUCUGGAGGAACACCGGUGGCGAAGGCGGCAUCCUGGCCCGGUACUGACGCUGAGGUGCGAAAGCGUGGGGAGCAAACAGG
rnacentral:rRNA from 1 species